CCUACGGGGGGCUGCAGUAGGGAAUCUUCCACAAUGGGCGAAAGCCUGAUGGAGCAACGCCGCGGGUGUGAUGAAGGCUUUCGGGUCGUAAAGCACUGUUGUAUGGGAAGAACAGCUAGAAUAGGAAAUGAGUUUAGUUAGACGGUACCAUACCAGAAAGGGACAGCUAAACAUGUGCCAGCAGCCGCGGUAAUACGUAUGUCCCGAUCGUUUUCCGUAUUUAUUGGGCGUAAAGCGAGCGCAGACGGUUUAUUAAUUCUGAGGUGAAAGCCCGGAGCUCAACUCCGGAAUGGCAUUGGAAACUGGUUAACUUGAGUGCAGUAGAGGUAAGUCGAGCUCCGUGUGUAGCAGUGGAAUGCGUAGAUAUAUGGAAGAGCACCAGUGGCGAAGGCGGCUUACUGGACUGCAACUGACGUUGAGGCUCGAAAGUGUGGGUAGCAAACAGGAUUAGAUACCCCUGUAGUC
rnacentral:rRNA from 1 species